rnacentral:lncRNA from 1 species
AACCAUUUUAUCAGCAAAAGCGAGGGGAGGGGGGCGUACAGUAAAUGCUGAGAGAUGUUCGAGAAGCCCCAAGACGUUCCUUGCGGAAGGAGAACGGAAGAAAGAAAAUUACGGGCGGAAAAAGAAUUCUUUGCUGAAGAAUGCAGCUGUAUUAAAGGAAGAAAGAAAACCAAGCUACAGCUCCUUAUAAUUCAACAAGCAUUUAAAAGAUUUAUAAAGAUGGUGCAAUUAUGUAUUUAAGCUGCUUCAACACAAGUUCUUGCCUUUCACUCCCACCCUGUGGCUUACACUGGUAUUACAUCUAUUCUGACAUUUAAAAAUCAACAUUAAAGAACAUAUUGUAAUAAUGUAUUCUAUGGUUUAAAUAUUUAAAAAAUUUUACAUCAUACCUAGAAAGUGUUGUGUACUUUCUAAAGCUUAUAAACUGAAAAGGAUUUGAAGAAUCCUAAUACAGAAUCAUAAGUUAUAAUUCAUCCAAAAUUGUAUAGUUCUUAAAUUUCAAAUCCAAACCAGUGGAUAUCUGUCUUUAGUGACAUUUAGAUUUUAUUCAAUUAAGGUCAUUGUAGCUAUUAUAAAUGGAAGAUUUUACUUCAUUGUGUCUUAUCACUGAAGUACUUCACUCUUGCUUUUCAAAAGAUUUCUUUCAAUUUCUUCAGAGUCUUAUUUGUUCUCUAAGACAAAGACUUGAUUUCAGUUUGUUUUUCUUAAAAUUAAUAUCUUCUCCAAUUUAUUUCCCAGUUUUUUCUAAAUAAAUACUUUAAAUAUAUAGAGUAUUAUUUUUAUAGUAUCUCAGAA